GUGGGGAAUCUUCCGCAAUGGACGAAAGUCUGACGGAGCAACGCCGCGUGAGUGAAGAAGGUUUUCGGAUCGUAAAGCUCUUUCAUUAGGGACGAACGUGCUCUUUGUGAAUAAUGAGGAGUAAUGACGGUACCUAAAUAAGAAGCCACGGCUAACUACGUGCCAGCAGCCGCGGUAAUACGUAGGUGGCAAGCGUUGUCCGGAAUUAUUGGGCGUAAAGCGCGCGCAGGCGGGAUAUCAAGUCUGUCUUAAAAGUGCGAGGCUCAACCUCGUGAGGGGACAGAAACUGGUAUUCUUGAGUGUCGGAGAGGAAAGUGGAAUUCCAAGUGUAGCGGUGAAAUGCGUAGAGAUUUGGAAGAACACCAGUGGCGAAGGCGACUUUCUGGACGAUGUCUGACGCUGAGGCGCGAAAGCUAGGGGAGCGAACGGGAUUAGAAACCACGGUAGUCC
rnacentral:rRNA from 1 species